rnacentral:tRNA from 1 species
GGGGACGUAGUCUAGUAUGGUCCAGGAUCCCAGAGCCGAGAGCGGGGAACCUGGGGCGCUGGAGGCUCGAAAGCGCCAGAAAUCGCGAGUUCAAAUCUCGCCGUCCCCA